GACGAACGCUGGCGGCGUGCUUAACACAUGCAAGUCGAACGGACAGGCCCUGCUUUUGUGGGGUGCUCGAGUGGCGAACGGGUGAGUAACACGUGUGUAACCUGCCCUUGACUUUGGGAUAACUUCAGGAAACUGGGGCUAAUACCGGAUAGGAGCUACUGCUGCAUGGUGGGGGUUGGAAAGUUUCGGCGGUUGGGGAUGGACUCGCGGCUUAUCAGCUUGUUGGUGGGGUAGUGGCUUACCAAGGCUUUGACGGGUAGCCGGCCUGAGAGGGUGAACGGCCACAUUGGGACUGAGAUACGGCCCAGACGCCAACGGGAGGCAGCAGUGGGGAAUAUUGCACAAUGGGCGGAAGCCUGAUGCAGCAACGCCGCGUGCGGGGUGACGGCCUUCGGGUUGUAAACCGCUUUCGCCUGUGACGAAGCGUGAGUGACGGUAAUGGGUAAAGAAGCACCGGCUAACUACGUG
rnacentral:rRNA from 1 species